UACGUAGGGGGCUAGCGUUGUCCGGAAUCAUUGGGCGUAAAGAGCGUGUAGGCGGCUUGGUAAGUCCGCUGUGAAAGUUCAGGGCUCAACCCUGGAAAGCCAGUGGAAACUGUCAAGCUAGAGUCCGGAAGAGGCGAGUGGAACUCCUGGUGUAGCGGUGAAAUGCGCAGAUAUCAGGAAGAACACCAAUGGCGAAGGCAGCUCGCUGGGACGGUACUGACGCUGAGACGCGAAAGCGUGGGGAGCAAACAGG
rnacentral:rRNA from 1 species